rnacentral:rRNA from 1 species
GUAGGGAAUAUUGCGCAAUGGGGGAAACCCUGACGCAGCGACGCCGCGUGAGUGAUGAAGGCCUUCGGGUCGUAAAGCUCUGUUGCAGGGGAAUAAAAAAAUGAAGGUACCCUGUGAGGAAGGAUCGGCUAACUUCGUGCCAGCAGCCGCGGUAAGACGAGGGAUCCUAGCGUUGCUCGGAAUCAUUGGGCGUAAAGAGGGCGUAGGUGGCUUGGUAAGUCAGGUGUGAAAGCCCAGGGCUCAACCCUGGAAGUGCAUUUGAUACUGCUGAGCUUGAGUGUCGGAGAGGUUACCGGAAUACCUGGUGUAGUGGUAAAAUACGUAGAUAUCAGGUGGAACACCGGAGGCGAAGGCGGGUAACUGGACGAACACUGACACUGAGGCCCGAAAGCGUGGGGAUCAAACAGGAUUAGAAACCCCAGUAGUCC